rnacentral:rRNA from 1 species
AUACGUAGGUGACAAGCGUUAUCCGGAUUUACUGGGCGUAAAGGGCGUGUAGGCGGUCUUGCAAGUCAGAAGUGAAAUUCCUGAGCUCAACUCGGGCGCUGCUUCUGAAACUGCAGGACUUGAGUGCUGGAGGGGAUAGCGGAAUUCCUAGUGGAGCGGUAAAAUGCGCAGAUAUUAGGAGGAACAACAGUGGCGAAGGCGGCUUACUGGACGAUAACUGACGUUGAGGCUCGAAAGCGUGGGGAGAAAACAGGAUUUGAUGCCCUGGUAGUCCACGCCGUAAACGAUGAAUACUAGGUGUUGGCAGCCGAAGGCUGUCGGUGCCGCAGCAAACGCAAUAAGUAUUCCACCUGGGGAGUACGUUCGCAAGAAUGAAACUCAAAGGAAUCGACGGGG